UUGGGGGGUCUCAUGCUAGCUAGCACUGGUCUCCAGGCUGAGGACCAAAGCCCACCCUGGGCCAGCAGGAGCUGUGUAGACAGUGAGAAUGAAGUGAAUGUGAAAGAGGAACACAAAAGCCUCUGGCCAGGACACCUGGACAUCCAGCAUGAAACAGAGAGGAGUAGGGAGAAAGGCAUUUACACCAGAAUCAGCUAUUGAGGACCAACUAUGGUCCCGGAACUCAGGACAGAGCAGUGAGCAGCACUCGGGGAUCACACAUGCUGCUGGAGAGCGAUGGCUGCACACCCUGCACCUCCAAGAAGGAGUCCUCAAGGCAAGACAGCUCCAGGAGGAAGGUGACCUGGGACACCAGCGGGGCCAGGGAGAGUUUCCUGGAGGCAGAGAGGGUCCUUGAGGCCAUGCUCACUUCCAACUGGAAAGCCCUCCUGCCAAAAGGCUGGCUGAUGAUGGAAUUGUCAAGUGCUGGUUGUGAAAUAAGGUGUUAACUGUUCACUGGGACGUGCUCACUACAGAAUACAGUGUUCCCUGUCAACCAAAGAAUUCGAUGAAAAAAAGAAAGAAAGAAAAAUCACAGUCGGGGAAUGGGGAGACACUUCCCAAGGUCAAGGUCAUGCAGCACCGAAGCCCAAGCUUCAGAAUCAGGAUCCGGACCCCUGAGUGCUGCCUGCAGCACAGCCCCCAAGCCCGUUCGCAGCAGCCCCCCCUUUCCAGCCAAGCUGAGACAAGCCCGGGCUGAAAUCUGCAGCAGAACCCCCCUCUUUCCCAGCCCACCCCACCCCUGGGGCUGGGGACUUGGAUCUGCAGACAACCUCCAGCCAUUCUGAGCCACAGGAGGGCCUGGCGUAGGCCCAGGCCACUGAAGGGGGCGGACAGCUGAGCCGGUGAUGGGUGGUUUUAAUAUUUAAACACAGUUUGCUGCCGCUGCACAGCCGCGGGGCCAAAGCA